rnacentral:rRNA from 1 species
AGUGAACGCUGGCGGUAGGCCUAACACAUGCAAGUCGAACGGAAGCACAGUAAGAGCUUGCCUCUACGGGUGGCGAGUGGCGGAUGGGUGAGGAAUACAUAGGAAUCUAAUUUUUCGUGGGGGACAACGUAGGGACAGUUACGCUAAUACCGCAUAUGAUCUACGGGUGAAAGCAGGAGAUCUUCGGACCUUGCGUGUCUGAAUGAGCCGACGUCGGAUUAGCUAGUUGGCGUGGUAAAGGCCCACCAAGGCGACGAUCCGUAGCUGACCUGAGAGGAUGAUCGGCCACACUGGAACUGAGACACGGUCCAGACUCCUACGGGAGGCAGCAGUAGGGAAUAUUGGGCAAUGGGCGCAAGCCUGAUCCAGCCAUGCCGCGUGAGUGAUGAAGGCCUUCGGAUUGUAAAGCCCUUUUAUUAGGGAAGAAAAACUGUGGAUUAAAACCCCCCUGUUCUGACGGUACCCAAACAGUAAGCACCGGCUAACUUCGUG